rnacentral:rRNA from 1 species
CCUACGGGGCGCACCAGUGGGGGAUAUUGCACAAUGGGCGCAAGCCUGAUGCAGCCAUGCCGCGUGUGUGAAGAAGGCCUUCGGGUUGUAAAGCACUUUCAACGGGGAGGAAGGCGGUGAGGUUAAUAACCUCAUCGAUUGACGUUACCCGCAGAAGAAGCACCGGCUAACUCCGUACCAGCAGCCGCGGUAAUACGGAGGGUGCAAGCGUUGAUCGGAAUUACUGGGCGUAAAGCGCACGCAGGCGGUCUGUCAAGUCGGAUGUGAAAUCCCCGGGCUCAACCUGGAAACUGCAUUCGAAACUGGCAGGCUAGAGUCUUGUAGAGGGGGGUAGAAUUCCAGGUGUAGCGGUGAAAUGCGUAGAGAUCUGGAGGAAUACCGGUGGCGAAGGCGGCCCCCUGGACAAAGACUGACGCUCAGGUGCGAAAGCGUGGGGAGCAAACAGGAUUAGAUACCCCAGUAGUC